rnacentral:lncRNA from 1 species
GAUAUGUUGUGUUUUUAUCGGUUUUGAGUCUUUGUUUUCUUUCCUAGAUCAUAUAUUUUAAAGAGUCAAAGUGUGUUUUUAGAGUCUUUUAGUCUUUUAUCGAGUCUUUACAGGUUUUAGGUUGCUUCGGAGGAAAACGAGCUGUUUUGGGAUAUAAACACACAUUUGGAGAUGAAGUUUCGGUUAGAAGUAUCGAACGUUUUUCCUCAGAUGGAAGACUUCCCACAGUUAGAUCUUUCUGAAUUUUUUACACAAGCUAGCUGAAGAUGUUAGCUUGAUUUUUAAAGUGGUUUGAAGGAAAUCUAACGGUGCAUUCAAUAGUUAUACCCAAAUUAGUGAAGACAGGUCAAUCUGGCGAGCAUUUGAAGCAGGUGCAGAGCUUGACUCCAGGAGCUUCAGGAUCGAUCGAUCCCAGGGGGGGAUCGAUCGAUCCAGCAUCAUCCGUCCAAGACCAAUUGAUUCAGCAUAUCUGGAUCGAUCGAUCCGAGCCUCGACGUCCCGAGACGGUUUUCCUAAACCGGGUUUUGUCUUCCUUUUUUUGUACUUGGGUAUAAAAACCCCAGAGACCUAAUUUUCUUUUUACGUUUUCUUUCUGCAAUUUUUCUGAGACUUUUCUCUUGUAAGCAACCUUGAGAUUCUAGAGAUUCAUCCUCUUUGACAAUUUGGAGAAGAUUUCUAAACCCUAUUUCUUAUUUUCAUUGCAAUUCAAUUAUGUCUUCUUCAUCUAUUUGUCUUGUUUCUGUUGCUAUGUGUGAGUAGUCUUUUAAUUAGGUGUUAGGGUUCUAAUUAGGAGAUUCGAUAGAUUAAUGGAUUAAUUGUUGUUUGGAAUUCUCAUUCUCUAGGUUCUUUGAUUCACAUGUUCUUAAUGCUAGAAUAGGAUUGAUCACCCUGUUGUAGAACCUAGGUUUUUCUAUGCAUCAAAAGUGUUCGAUAGAAUGCCUGAAAGAAUGUGAAUUGAGCAAUGUAUUUCUAGCCAACGAAAGUUGAAGUUAGGACGCAUUGUGAACUAAAUGAACUUGUUUGAUAAUGCGAAUUUGACUAGGAAAUUACAUGCGAAAGUUUAGUAAUUGAGUAGUCAAAUUUAGUGAUUAAUGUCUUGAAAGAGAAUUAGUCUAAGUUGUGUUCAUGUUCAAGAACGGUUCGUAAUUGUUGAAUUCCUUGUCCCAUGUUUCCAUUGUUUAUUGAUCUCUGAAAUACCCUAAUGCCUAAUGUCUUUAAAUCUUGAAACUUAAAUCGUUUAAUUUAAUUGCAUUUUUAUUUUACAAUUCGGAAAACUCAAACAAAACAACUUUUUAGUUUUAGCUAAGAACAAGUCUCGAAAAUCCUUAGAGUAUCUUUGGUCCUUGUGGAUCGACCCCGUAUAUACUACCUUGCGGUUAAGUGUAUCGGGUAAUUACUCGAGCAAUCAGCAUAGUAAAGGUCUAUGACGCAGGUAUAGUCUCUAAGACCUUCUCAUGGUCUUGGGUGCUCUUAGUAAUAUGUGGGAAUCCUUUGUUCCCUUUUCCCUUAGUUUCAUUGUGGAAACCAUUCAAACACAUUUCUUUGAAACUCAACAAGCCCCUUUGAGCUGGGUGAAUAUGAAGCAUCUGAGGAUGCGUGCCCUUGGGAAUAUGGGCCUGCCAUGGGCCUGCCCUUAGCCUUCACUAAAUGUAGCUAUACUCGCAAUUUGGCUAAUGAACCAUGUCUUUAGAUAUUUCGUUUAUUAAAUUCUCAUAGUCAUCUAUCUCAUGGUCGAAAUCUUCUUCACCAUCGUGAUGAACUAAAUGAGCUUCUAGAUUCUUUUCAAACUCUCUUGAUAGAGAUCAACGAGAUGCUUAGGUGUCCUGCACGUCUUAGUCCAAUGGUUUCCCCAUUCCUUAUCAGUGGCAAACAAGUUUAUUUGAGUGUUGUGGUUUGGCUAUACCGCGGCCUCUACCUCGAUUACGACCAAAGUCGGGUCGGCGGCCUUAACCAUAUGAAUGGUUUCCUUGAUCAUAAUAUAAAUUAUAAUUGCCACUUCUACCACGUUCAUUCCAUUUACCAUGACUGUGGCCAUGAUACUUAUCUCUUUGGACGUGGUUAGACUCUUUAGUCUCUUUAGGCUCUUUAGGCUCUUCAGCCCAAUGGGCUUCUGAUAAUGGGGUAGGACCAGGAGGUCUCAUUUCACUAUUUAUAACUCAUUGUUUUGCUCAGCAAGUAGCAUAUCAGAAUCAAUGUUCUCAUCACGGUUUCUCCAAAGCCUCACUCACUCUCUACAGAGGAGUCCUCCCCAAAAACAAGAGUUUAGACUUGCAUAUGUGGUAAAAACCUUUUUCACGAUAUUGUUGCUGAGGCAAUAUAUUGUUUGUGUGAAAUUAAAGGUCGAGAAUGCUUUCUCUAGCAAGUCAUUCUCAGUAACUUCCUUACCACGGAAUCUCAGUAUUGACACUAUUUUAAAUAGUGCUGAGUUAUACUCAUUCAUGGAUUUGAAUUCCUAGAAUCUAAGAUUCUUUCGAUCGAAUCGGGCUUUUGGGUAAUAGCACCGUUCUUUGGUGGUUAUAUUGAUUUUUUUUUUUUUUUUUUUUUUUUUUGAUUACUUAGUCCUGAGGUCCAGAGGAUUCUUAAUAGUGAGGUACUGAUUUUGAGACUUUCAUUGAGGUGAUGGCGUAUGUUAGUAAUCGCCUUAUAUCUUUCUCUUCUGGUGACAUUGUUUCCUUCCACAAUAGAUUCACCAAGUCCUUUUUCCUUUAUGACAAUCUCAGUGUCCAAAGCCCAUUUCAAAUAAUUGUCACCAGAGGCAUUGAGUGCCGUGUAUUCAUAAUAGUUGAUUUCUGAUAUCUAUAAUAUAUAGAGUUAAAUGAGAACUCAUGUAAUCGGUUAGGCCAAGUCAUGCGGUAUUUAAGACCGAGCCAUGCUUGUCUUCAGCAAGUGUUUUCUAAACAAUCAUGUUAUAUAUAUAUGGAUGAAAUCAACCCUAGAAGAUUGAUCUAGUAUGCAACAACCAAACAAUCGGAUCAUACUAGAUUAGGAUAUUAGGAUUUCGCGGUUAAGUUUUAGGGUUUUAGCAUCCGCGAUUUAUAGUACUAGGGUUUUUGCUAGGAUUUCGGUUUUAUGUAUGGAACUUUCUAUUUAUGGAAACUUUCCUUAUAUGGAACUUUCCAUUUAUGGAAACUUUCUAUUUCUCAUCUAGAAAGAAAUCCUAAACAAACGUGUACUUUAGGGUUUUUGGAAUAUUUCCUUAUGAAGGGGUUUCCUAUUUUGGUAACUUUCCAUUUUGGGAAACUUGCUAUUUUACGAAACUUUCUAUUUCUGUAAACUUUCCUUAUAUGGAACUUUCUAUUUCUGGAAACUUUCUAUUUCUGGAAACUUUCCAUUUAUGGGAAGCUUGAUCUUAAACCGUGACUUAGGGUUUAUUAAACCGGUUUAACCUAGGAUUUAGGGUUUCGGUUUACUUUCGGUUUAACCUAGGGUUUAUAUUAAAACAUUCAAUCUAUCAUGCCAUUAAACAUCUUUCCAUUCACUAACUUCUCAAUUAAUUCUCCAAAUACAUAUGUCUUUGUAUACAUGUAUUUUACACUAGAGAGAUUCUCAAGCUAACCACGUUAUACCAAAUCAACGAUAGAUUUACAUAAAAUAAUAUAAAGCACUAAGCAUCAUAAUUCAAAAUUAUCGAUUUACUAAACCUGAGUCAAUCGUUCAUAAAUUAUACGUAUAUAAAAUACUAGAUCAACUCAGUUGGAGCAAAGUUAUGUGAUUAUUUUAUGUCAUCUUAAGAUUAAAGCAUGAUGUGAUAAUGGUGUAAAACAUAAAUACUUAUCUCGAUUGAAAGCUUUUCCUUAGUAAUCUCGACGAUCGUUUGCGGAGAUGGAGAACAAAACAUCGCUACGGUUUUGCGAGAUUUUGUUUUUACUUCACCACGAGAUAUUAAUCAUCCCUUCAAACAAAAGACCCACUUUAUCAAACCAACUAUAGACCAAACCAAACUCAAUGAUGAAUGAAUACCAAAUAACUAAAAGCAUGUUCAAGGUAAAUCAGUGAUAAAACAUGUGUCGAUCAAUAAUAAAAUAUAGUUUGGUAACAACUCACGUUUUAAACAAAGCAAUUAAUAAUAAACAUAUGUCGAUCAAUGGUGAAGUAUGAUGGAAUCUAGCUUUUAAAAUAUCAUGAUGGAGUAGAUAUCACGGUUAUGUACUUGAGAAAAAUUAAAGUAUUAUAAUGAGAUCUGAGCAUAACAUGAUAAAGCAUUCUUAACCAAACAAAUAGAAUCAAACAAAAAAAAAACAUGAUGGCGAUGAGAUCGUGAAGCCAUAUAAAUAGGCUGGACAAUAAAUUUUGAUUGAAGUAAAUGAGACCAAAGCGAUAUAAAUCAUGAGCAGAACCAUAAUUAAAUACGAGGCCACUUAUCUUUUAGAAUAAAACUUAGGCUCGUAGGGAUCGGAGAUCAAAAGCGGAGAUGGAGACAAGAUGAUGAAAAACUGAGACAUCAUCGAUUAGGGUUUCGAUAGAAUUUUUUUUUUUUUUCUUAAUUCAGACGGCUAGGGUUUUUGGUUUUUGUGAGAGAUUUAGGGUUUUGAGAUUUUUAGCUUUUAGGGUGAGAGGCUAUCGUGCUGAUAACGUGUUGUGAACUGUGUCUUUCAUUAAUAGAAUAAGGGAUAUAUAUACAAGGAUAAUAGCAGGAUACAGAGAAUAAGGUAAAACCCUAAUGGGCCAUGGGCCGGUUAUGGAGUCCAUCCAUAUGGUUUAUAACAAUUUUUAAUUUGGCACAUUAUUUAUUUUGUUAUUAAGUUGUGUUGGCGCGUUAUUAAAUUUCAAAUUUUGAAAAUCAAGUAAACAUUCUUUCAUAUGUAUAUAUAAUUACAUGUUAGACUUUGAAAUUUUAUUUUUGCACUUUUGUUUUGUUUUUAAUUUUUAUUAUAAUUUGGUUUCAAAUUUACCUCUCCCAUUAACCCGAACUUCUAUUAUUCAAGUUUUACAUCUAUGAAACCUAUUUAUCCAUUUGGUUUAGGUACAUACAUAUUUAGCCUCCAAUGCUCGAACUAGGUCUUCAUCUCCUCAUUUGGUCUGCCUCUCUUAUUUUUCAUAUUAUACUUGUAUUAGCUUUUCUUAAAGUGUAUUAUUAAAAUGAUGUCCUUGUAAGGACAAGAAGAUUACUAAAGUUAUUAAUUACGAAAAUUGUACAUGAAACAUAUCCGCAUGGUCUAUGAAACCAAAAAAUAAAUCUUUAACUCUAUCAAUAAUUUGCUUGUUCAAAUUAUCAGACUAGUUAAGUUCUUAUCUAUCUUUAGAUUUAAUAUACAAAACGUUUUCUCACUUAACUUGGCCCUUGACUAUAUGCUUAAUUUUCUAGAGAGGUGAAAUAUCUGCUCAUUAAUUCCUAGGCGAAGAAAACUCCACAACAGGAAAGUUUAAUAUGCAAAGCUAACAAUCUUUUUUGUUUGAUCUUUUGGAUUUUUUUUUUCUUUUGAUAAUUGUGGCCAUAUUUUUUUUUUUUUUUUUUUUUGAUAACUCAGGUGAUCUUAAAGUCUUUCUAGGCCCAAAGACUAAUCCUGGGGCCCGGAGAAACCAUGUUAGAAUUCGAACCCCGGUGGCCAAUGCUACUCGAACCCAGGUGGCGGAGACUUUUCUCUCCUUUACCACUGGACCAAUGCGACUUGGUUUAGUAAUUAGUAAUUAGUAAUUAAUUGUGACCAUAUUCAUUGCAUGUUGAUGAGCAAAACAGUGACCUUUCUACUUUUACUUGGUAUCCAUAGAAGUUGCGGGUAGAAUUCGACCCCGGGACUUUGCCAUAUUCCCAUAUAAAAUCUCAUCCUGGUUACAUAAUCGGUAGAAUUAACACAUUUGAGUUUAGAACUUUUUUCUUUUUUUGCUUUAAACAGUAACUAAAAAAUCAGUGUAGUGAAAAUAUUGGUAAUGACCGAGAUUAGAAUCACUCCACGUAUCAUUUCGAUAACGAUAAUCCUUAAAAGAAUAUUACAUAUAUAUCGAGUAGUGUUCCUAUAUUUUAAGGUCGUGUGGUGUAGGUCACAUCUUCUGUGUUUUCGAGUCGAGGACGUCUACAUGGUGGUGGUCUCUUGGUUAGUAGUACUUGGGAAUCAUAUUUGGCAAUAGGAGCUCCACAUGAUCCUGAUGGUGGAGUAUAUAUUUCUGGACCCAUAUCACCACCUAUUUCAUAGCCAAGAUACUGAUUUAUUAAUGAUAAAAUUUAGCUGCUUGAUUUGAUUCUAUAAUCUGAAAUCUGAGUCACUUGUUCAUCCUAACUGAGAAAAAUAUAGAAAUCAAAUCGAUAUAUCAAGAAAAUGGUUGAGCUAUAUAUAAUGCUUUUGGUUCAUGGAACAACCUCAUUUUCCUACUCAACUAAAGAAAAUUCGAAACUGAUAUAGGGAUUUAAGGAAGCAAAUGUUGUAAUGCACAAUUCUAUAUGCUUACUUUUCUCUUAGUAGUCGAUGUUAUCUUGAUUCAACCAAAAUCUUUAACAUUUAAUUUACUUUAUCAAUUCUCUUUUCACAACAUAGUUUUAUUUUCAUUUUACUUUACUCGCUUUACCAAUAUUCAAAACAUGAGAGAUUGAAAAGGUUAAGAAUUAUGUGAUUCUCUUAAUAUGUGAACUAACCUGGAAUACUAGCUUCUACAAGACCAAUCACAAACAUCAGGCAAAGCAGAAGACUUAGCAGAAGAACAUGUGAUGUCUUCUUCAUCGCCAUUGGCUCUUCUAUCUUAAAUAACCAAAAGAAAUUAUGAUAUAAACUUUUAUAUUUUGAUACCUUAUAUAUAUUAGAUAUUACUAAAUGUAGCAUUGAAACUUGAAAGUGAACACGGUUGGUAGGUUAGCUAGUUGCAAUAUACUUCCAACUAAUUUUCCUCUCCUCCCGUAGUCCCGUUACGACUUAUUUGCAUGAUUGCAUAUUUGCAUCUAUGAUAACUUAUUUUUUCAUUAUUUUAUGACCCAAUAGUCAACAAAGACAACUUUUUUUUCUCUUGUAGUCUAGACGAUUUCACAUUGCCAUCAACAACCGAAACCCACAUUUUGUAAUACCCACGUUUUAUUAAAAGGACUGAUGACACCAUUAGAUUUUCCAUAUAUGUAAAUACCCACGUGUCAUUUAAGCUUGAGUCACUGUGAAGGACUUGCUAAAUCAAUUUCCAUCCUUUGAUAAGCUACAAAGGGUGUGCAGAACACGUGAGCUCUAUUUGGAAGAGAUUGAGGAGAAGUAACAAACUUGUAACAGAAGGAAGUGUGGCUUGUGAAGUCUACAAAUACAAGAAACCGAGGACGAAACGAGGCAUGUGAAUUGUGACUUGUGAGAGUAAUCAGUGAGUGGGAAAGAUAGAAUCGGAGGGAUACGAGGAUUCUAGAUUUCAAUUGUUCUUUGAUUCAUAUCCAUUGUUGUUGUUGAUGUUCUUGAUACUCAUUAUUGUACUUCCUUUUAAUUCAUAUCAAAUGUUCUUUGGAAUUCUGUACAGAGGAUUUAGAAUUUGCAAUAAAGAUUGUUACAUUGUUGACGUUUAGUCCUGGAUAUAUUAAGCAAUAUAUAAUAAGAGAGAUUGAGUAUUAAAAUCUUAUCAAAGCCAGUUAUAUGUAAAGGAUAUUUCUUUUACCCUAACCGGACGGUUUAUCAACUGACUAACCCAACGACAAGGAUGUGAAAUAAAUGUAAUGAGUGAAAGACAUCAUACAUCCGGAAGAUAUACUGAUCAUUCGGGAAUUCCCAUAACCAGCAUGGAAAAAGUGGACAUACUAGAUUGACACUAUACAAAGUCAGGAAUAUAUGCAGUUAGAUCAUGAUAUUGGACUAAACAAAAUGUACCAUCAUCUAAAAUCCCACCGCAGGUCUUGCCACCAUAUUUUUGGUUAUUGCAGGCUAUAUUCAUAAGCUAAAAUAUUCACCAAAAUCAUGGCAUUUCAUAUGGCAAGUAAUAACAGGUUCUUUAGCGGUAAACUCGAAUCUUAGGCACUUAGGGGUUAAUUGUGACAUCUAGUGUCCAUGAUCUGAAGCAGAGACAAGGAGUUUUUUUUUUUUUUUUUUUUUUUUUUUUGUCUCUUUUCGAAUUACAAAAAUGGGCAAGAUCUAAGAUUCUUGCAGAAUUCUAGCAUCAUAGCAGAGGGCACGAGCACAAUGUGUAACCCCUAACCGGCCUCUUUAUUGAAUUUGAAUCAAAGUUGCAUAGAUAGAUCUAACAGCACCCAAGCGACUCGACAAAGAGAGCUUAAAAAAAUGCAUGGGUAUGAGUAUUAAAAUUGACUUAGCUAUAUUGAAGCCCGUUAGGAAAAAUAAAAAAACCAAAAAGUCGGGCGCGUGAGUAGCACGCGUGGGCGACUUUCCUCCAUUCUUCUCACCGAGAACAACACAGUCGCCGUCAAUUGCUUGCCUCUCCGGUGACCGGUUGCGACCGGUGCCGUGAGAGGGCUCUAGGUUCUUUCUGUCCGAUUUCAUUUGUGCACUUGAAGAUUCGGAAGUCUUGUUUCGGUCCUGUUUCUCGCGGUGAGAGUUGAGGGUCCGCCGUGCGUGUCGGCCGUUCUCGGUGGUCGGAAUCUCAUGCUCUCUGCCUCUAUUGCCUGUAGACGGUGACAGAUCAAGGCGGAGGCUUGGUUUCUUCCCUAGCGACUCGCCUCUCUGGCGGCGGAGCAAGUUCUCACUUGUAGAUCUACUUCUAGAUCUCCUUCUUCCUGGCGUUUCUGGUGGCGGUGCGGGCUUCUCUCGGCGUUGCUGUGGUGUGGCUUCUCUCCGCCUUGCUUGGUCUCGCAUUUUCCAAGACUCCUCUUGGACUAACCAUUGCGCUUCAACUCGUGUCUACCGGCGGUUUUGGGCUUCUCUCUGUUGGGAUUUGCUUUGAGGACGGCUUUUCCUAGUAGCUAGUAGCUUCUGUCCACCCCGUGCGAGUCGUUUUCGAGUUUUGGAGUUUUGAUUCGAGUGGUUUUCAGCGGCUCUGUCGAGAGCUUACCAGCCUAGCUUGUUGUUCUUUGACUUUCCGAGCCUUUGAAGCCUCAACCUCUCUUUCGUCUCUCCUUCGCUUAGGUUUCAGGACUUGGCUGUUGUUUGAUUCUGCUUUGAGUUUUCUGUCUCGACAAGCCUUGACGUUUGGAAGAAGCAUUUCUCUGUUGGCAUCUUCUGCUCGUGGACAUUGGCAGGAUUAUUAGGAGAGUGCUUCCUCGUGGCAGGUCAAGUUGUUUUGUCUUUUCGGAUGCUCUUUUGAUCAUUCUUUUGGCUGCAGUAGUGUUUGAUUUGUUGAUGUUUUAGUUACCGGUGGUACUAGCUUUCAUCGCCAAUUGAGGACGUUACAUGUAUACCAAGACUUUUGGUUUGGUUCAAGGCCUGGUUUUGUUGUGGCUUGCUUUUGUUUUUGCCUUUUGGUAGAAGUUUGCUAUGCUUUGAGUGUCCGCCUCUUGCUUGCGUUAAGAUUGUGCUAUAGAGGAGCUAGUAAGGCUAAUGGCCUUUGGUGUGGUGGUGAACUGUUUUUAUUGUUGCUCUGCGCUAGCCGACUUCGGGUGAACUUGGUAGAGGGAGCACACACCGUUGGCAUAAUUUGGCGUGUGAGGUUCCGUCCGAAGAAAGCUCAUGGACUUGAUCAAAGAAUCGCUUCUGCAUUUUGCGGGGAGAGAAUGUGUGGCAGGGUUUGGAGUUCUUUUCCGUUGACAUCUCGGUCUCGGGCCUCCUUUGAAAGGCUUCUAGAGCUAUGUGUCUUCUGCAACUCGGCGGUCACAAUUUGCAGUCGCCCUUCUCCUUUUGCAAUUCUUCUAGGAAGAACAACAAAAUCGUCAUCGCUUCAUUUAACUCUCAUAGCUCUUUCGCUAUGGUUGAGUGGAUGGACCGAAAACCGUGGUUACUAACUUAUGCUUCCAUGUUUUUAUCUUUUUUGCCAUGGAACCAUUUUCUAGGAUUAUAAUCAUCGAUUGUAAACCUAAACAUUUUUUAUUUUAUGAAAUAUUUACAUUCUUAGCAAAAAAAAAAAAAUAUUGAAGCCCGUCAAAAACAGACAAGUAUGAUACUUAAACAUAAUACAUGUACUUAGAGCAUCUCCAACAGUAAUGUCUUAAGAUUAAAAAAAUAGAAAAUAAUAUAAAAGUAGGAGAGAGUGUAUACACAGUUUCUGGUUUGAGAAACUUUGUGAAACUGUGUCUCCACUUGUCCUUUUAUUAUUGGCCAAAUUUUAUAUCAAUUAAUAAAGUUAAGAAAGUUCUUGCGCUCAUAACUGCAAUAGAAAAGGAUAGCCGAUAGCGAUGGAAUGAUAAUAUAUGGUGGAAAAUAUUGGCCAUAGCCACUAGAUUAGUUUAGCCACGAAAAUUAGCGCGUUCAUUUAUUGCUACCAAACUUUUAAUUAAAGUACUUGGAAAUUGAAAAGUAGUUGCUUCUUUAAUAUAUGUUUAUGUAUAAUAAUACCCUGAAAACAUUUAGACGAAGGUAUGAUGAAGUCAAUAAUGUUUAUGAAAACAUCAUAUAUUUCUCUUUCCCUAUCGUUGUUUCUUCUCCUUUUAUCUCAUUUUUCUCAUGUUGGAGCUACACACCGCAUGCUAUGUAAGUACAUCUAUGUAUAAGAAUAUAUCUUCUCCUAGCACCAAAACUACCCUAAUAGCAAAAUUUUGAACCUGAUUGAAUUUGGAAGCUACAAGUUCAGUAAUAGUUUUAUAUUACCUUAGUUAUGAUUUUUUUUUUGUUCUUUGAAAAACUUGGAGUUUUGAUUUGAGGGAAGAAUAAUAAGCCCAUCGAAAGAACUUCAAUUUGUUUUAAUGUAGUUUUCUCAUGAUUAUUUUGUUUGUACAAAACGGCUAAUGUGAGGCUCAUUCAUGGUGAUAUAGAUGCCCAAGUAUACACACCACCAUCUCCAACAUGUGGAGAUCAAAUAGGAAAUUUAGUCUUUGAGGAAGCUAAACAAAAGACAAGAAAACGAAAACUCUGUAGACAUCAUCCUCCAAAACCAUAAUUGCAAACACAUGAUGCUGCUGAAGAUAGGUAACAUCUUCAUCUUCUCUGACUGCAUAAUAUUGGUGUUUAAUACAAAAUCUCGCUGGUGUGGGACUCAUUAUCAUGUUAACGUCAAAUUAAUUAGCUGGUGUUGUAAACUUUAAAUAAUAUACAUUUUUUAAAUGUAAAGUUAUAUCCAACAAAAACAAAAACAAAAAACUAUUGCUGCAUUGAAUAAGAUAUCUUUAAUUGAGAGUGGCGAUAUAGAACAGCAUAUAAGUUAUCAUGCUCGCAUAUCCACCAUUGAAUAAGAUAUCUUUAAUUGAGAGUAUAAAAGAUUCAAUAACUAAUCAAAAAAUCAAAGAAUAUUUUAUUGGAUAUUAUCUUGAGUACUAUUUUUUUUUUGGUAUCCGAAGACGUUGCAGAUAGAAUUCGACCACGGGACUUUGACAUAUUCCCAUAAGAUCUCAACCUGGUUAAUCGGUAGAACUAAUGACACUGACUUAAUGCUUCUUCAUUGUCAGUCUAAAUAUGGCUAAGAGUUUAAAAUAAUUCCUAGUAAAUAUAGUGAAAAUAUAGGUAUAACCGAGAUUAGAGUCACUCCAUGUAUCACUUUGACAAUCUUUAAACAACAUUACAUAUAGAUCAAGUAGUGGUCUUAUAUUUCAAGGAAGUGUAGUGUGAGUCACAUCUUCUUGGUUUUGGGGUCGAGGACGUCUACAUGGUGGUGGUCUCUUGGCUAGUACUCGUGAUGAAUCGUAUUCGGCAAUUGAAGCUCCACAUGAUCCUGAUGGUGGAGUUCUUAUUUCCGGACCCAUAUCGCCCCCUAUUGCAUACCCAAGAUAUUAAUAUAGUUGUAAAAAAAAUGUAUGCUCGAUUUACUCUCACUCCCCUAAUUUGUGCAACGUCAAAAAUUCGAAGAACAUAUAACUUACUCUUAUAUUUUGUUAUCCAUUUCAAACCUAGCAAAAUUAGAUUUGAUCCUAUCGAAUUGAUAUUUACUUUACCUUUUAAAACAGAAAAGUUGCAGUAUAUAUUAAUUUUGAUUCUCUUGAUACGUGAACUGACCUGAUAUUCUAGCUUCUACAAGACCAAUCACAAACACCAGACAAAGCAGAAGAACAUGUGAUGUCUUCAUCGCCAUUGGCUCUUCUUGUCUCAAUUAAAUAACUAAAAAGAAAUAAUGAGAAACUGAAUAGAUACAAACUUUUUAUAUAGCAUUUAAAAUGUACGCGGUUGGUAGCUUAGCUUAUUGCUUAUUGCUAUACUGCCCACUAAUUUUCUUCUCCCCGUGUUUUGACUUACGACUUAUUUGCAUCUAUGAAGACUGAUUUUUAUGGCCCAAUAGUCAACAAAGAAAAAAUGAGUUUAUUUUUUAGGGUAGACAAAGUCAACUUGGCAAGCCCCUCUUUUAUUUUUUUUUUAUGGUACGACGCUUUUCGUAUGGUUUCAAUAUUUCAACUUUUUUGAAAAAAUAUUUUGAUGCGUUAAUUUAAAAGUGGCAAAGAUUACAUGGUUAUGAUCCGUUGGAGCAUACAGUUUGUGAGGAGCUGAAUUAAAGAAAGAGAUUAAUUAAGUUACUUAAUCUAGAGUGUGCUUAAACACUUUGACAAAAAAAUAGAGCUGAAGCAUUUAGCUAAUGGAUAAAGGGCAGAGAAGGUGAUGUGGAUGAGACUGAUGAAUGCACUUGCCACGGUCCAACAACCGUCGUCCACUGCAUCUCUUGAGUGGCUGACUUCUUUAAUUCCAGUGGUGUGCAAAACGGUUGAUGGCUUUUAUAAGUAUUCUUAUGAUAUGACUGGAGUUAUUUCAACUUGAACGAUCCAUUUCCUAAAUGAUGACAUAAGACCGUAAUUUUCAUUCGAGUCUUAGGGGUCGUGGAAUUGUGUGAAGAGAUUAUAAGGUUUCUAAAUUAUAGGAAAAAUAAAGAAAAGAAAUUCAUUAAGCGCGUCUCAUCCACACGCCCCCAAAACUUCUCUCCCAAAGCGAUUUUUCUGCGACAACCCUAAUCUCCGCCGCCCUUGCCUCUCCGGUGUUUGGUUCCGACCGACACUGUGAGAGGGCUCUUGGUUACUUGCUCUCUUCUUCUCAUGUGCUCUUGAAGGCUCUGGAGGGUCGUUUCUUCUUUGGUUCUCGUGGUGUGUGUUGAAGGUUCUCCAUGCGCGACGGCCGGUUUUCCGGUGACUGGUUUCUCCUGCCCUCUCCCUCCACUGCCUGUAGACGGUGCUGGACAGUGGUAGAGGCUCUCAUCUCCGGUCCAAGUGUCUCGCUUCUUUUCGGCAGAGCAAGCUUUUGUUAGUAGAUCUGCUCUAAAUCUCCUUCUUCCUGGUGAUUUCCGUUGGUCGAGCGUUCUUCCCUUGGCUUCGUCGUGGUGGCGUCUCUCUUCUUGGCUCGGAGUCAUCUUUUCCAAGAUCUCUCUUGGUCUAACCACCGCGUUUUGGCUCGUGUCUACCGAGGUCUCGGGUUUCUCUGAGUCGGGAGUUUGCCUUGAGGACAGCUUGCCCCCGCUCGCUUGAAGCCUCUGUCCGCUCCGUGCGUGUCGAUUUUGUGUGUUGGAGUUUGAACUGAGAGGCUUUCUUUAGCGCAGUGUCUGGUUCUCCAGCUUUGGUCAGUGUUCUCCGUUGGCCCGCUGUUGCUUCUGAUGCCUCAGCCUCUCUUUUCUGUUUCUCCUCCACAUAGGUAAUCAAAGUUUGGCUGUUAUUGGUUUGUCUAAGGUCGUCUAGUUGUCUUCGUCGAGCUUGAUUUUAGGAGAACCAUGUCUCUGUUGGCCUAUUCUGCUUGGGGUCGGUAGCAGAAUUUUUAGGAGCAUGGUUCUUGUGGCUGGUUAAGCUUUGUCGACGAUUUGGAUGCUCUUUGCCUCCUUUGUGCAGCUGCAAUGGUGUUUUCAAGUUGUGGCGUUAGCUAUCGGUGGUAGCUUGUUACCUACUACUUUUGAGAUCUCCGUUUGCAUUUCGCCUCUUUGGUUUUGUUCAAGACUUGUUCUUUCCUGUGGCUUCCUUUUGACAGUGCUUUUGUUUUGAAGUUAGCUUGCUUUCCAUGCGUUUUUCUUUGUGUUUUGGAUUGAGCUUUAGAGGAGCUAGUAGGGCUAAAGACUUUUGAUGCAGUGGUGAUUUUUCUUAUCUUGCUCUGCGCUGCUGACUUCGAGGAGGAACUUGGUUAGAGGGAGCUUGCAUCUCUGGUUUUUGGCGUGUGAGGUUCCGUUUCUAGGAAAGCUCAUGGAUUGAAUUGAAGAAUCGAUCUCACUUGAAGCAGGGAGAGUAAGUGAUCGUAGAUUUGGAGUGUUCAAACCGUUGACGGCUCGGUCUCGGGUCUCCUGCGAAAGGCUUGUGAAGCUCUUGGUCCGUCACUUUAAGGUUUCCCACUUUAAGCAAAAGCCCUUCUACUUUGCACUUUCAUUCGGGAAGGAUAGAUCAGAACGUAAUCGCUUCAUCUUUUCCCUUUGCUUCAUAGCUUUAUUUACGGGGUUGGGAAGAUGGACCGAAAACUUGGUUUUAAUUAACCGUAUGUUAUGUUUCCAUGUUUUUAUUAUUUUUGCCAUGGAUAUGCAUAGGUUUCAAAUCUAUGUUUGUAACCUAAACUUUUUCAUUUUCUAUGAAAUAUUUACAAUUUAGCAAAAAAAAAAAAAAUUAUAGGAAAACAUAUUUUAACAAAGGAAAGUAGAAUAAAUUCGUCUAAAAAUAAGGACAGGGAUCUCGGUAAAUUAGUAUAACAUAUGGGAAUUUUGAUCCAUAUUUAGGUUUUGAUUAUAAGAAAAGUGAAAAUUAAGUGGCCAAAAGAGGAGCUAGCUAACUAAAGAAAAUCUGGUAAAGAACAUAUGUUGGAUUCAAAUAGAUAAAAUAAGGUUUGCGGGAUCUCGGUUCUAUAAGGAUUUGGCUAUGGAUAUUAAUUUUUGUAGCAUAAGGUGAUUAUGGUAGACUAGCUAGUAAAAAGAAAUUUUUGACAGCAAUUGAUUAAAGAGUGGUUUAGUGGGAUUUGAUUGGAGAGUUUUAUAGGAUUUUAGCUAGGAUAGCACAUUAUUUUAAGUCUUCUAAACGGAGUCUUGGAUGAUUUCAUCUCUGCCCAACUCAAAAGCAAAAGUUAGAGAGAAGUUACAAAGAAGUUUGGAUUUUUACAGCCGUUUUCAAGUAGUGUUCGGUCAAUUAUGUAUUAAGCAGUAUUUGGUUCAUUUGUCAUAUAUGAUAUAUAAUUGAAAAAGAAAAUAAAUUAAAUUGGAUGUUGAUAAGAGACAUAUUUAUCAUUUAAAGGUCUCUAUUCCAUUAACUUCAAUAAAUGUUCUGAAAUUAUUUUUUGGAAAAAUAAUUUAUAGAUAGGAUUACAUGAUUAUGUGUGGCAGGUAAAAAUAGAUAGUUUCAACUACACCAACUUAUACUUAAUGCAUAGUGACAUGCACUGAAAAACAAAAUAUGUUUUUUUUGUCAUCCGAAAUUAAUUAGAGCUAAAAAGAGUCAUUCGUGGAGAAUGUUGUUUACAUAUGUGAUAUGAAGCGGUUCUGUACGAACUUUUCGUGCUAGAUUAUCCGCUUUUACAUUAGCACUAUGAGAAACUAAAGAUAAAGAGAAGGUUGAGAAUUCCUCCUUGUCGCUCUGGAAAUUUUCCAAAUAUAUUGAAAACGCCGGCCAUUCGGUUGGAGAAGACACUAUCUUCACCAGAUCAGAACAUUCUGUAAAGAACGCUACCUCUUGAUUAUCUGCACCAAUCAUACACUUCAUCGCCCAGAGAAGGGCCUCGACUUCUGUCUGUAAUGGAGAUAGACUUCUACUGAGGUUGGCAGCUCCCUUGGUUGGCGGCUCUCCGUUUGAUGAUGUACAGAACCACCCUGUACUGGAGAACUUGUCACUUUCUUUCCAUGAUCCAUCUACAAAGUAGCGGUAUCCAAAAUAAUUCGAAUCAAGUGAAGCAUCCCCCACUCGAGAUCGACUUACCAAUUCCACAUGACCAUGAUUUCCAUUAUGAAGCUCGAUUUGGGCUGACUGCCACAAUUGUGCUUCUUUAUCGCUAACCGUAAUACCUCUAAGGGAUCUUUAUCCAUAUUUUCAAAUAUACCAGAUAAUCCAUGGAAGGCUGGUGAAUCAAAUUCCGAAGGUAUUCUCCAAAAUAAGUGAUCCAAAUUCGCAAAAAUAGAUUCCGUUGGAAAAUUUCCCAUAGCCGUAGGAACCUGAGAAAGCGCCCAAAUUGAAACAUUUCUGUCAUUUUUGACAUAACCCAUUAAUUGAAAGAUUAAAACCCAAUUUAAAUAAUUCAAAACCAAACUAAACCAUAAACCCAACAUGUAAACUAAACUUGGCUCAACCGUAAUAUAAUUUUAACCAAUUUGAAUGUUUAACAUGAAAACCAAUUGAAAAGUAUCCAAAAAGAUUAUAUAUCUAUAGAAAACAAGGCCUCUUCGACAAAAUUUCCGACGGACAUUGAACGGUCACAAAUUUCCGAUGGUUUUCCGACAAUAUUCUGACUGAUUUUUAAUGGUCAGAAUUUCUGACGGAAUCCAACCAAAUAUAAUCUGACAGAUUUCUGCCCAAAAUAUAUCCAUUACUAUAUCCGUUUAAAUUUUGGUAACAUAUCCGAAAUAUUUCGGAAAAUUGAAAUCUUUCUUACGGAUUUCGGACAAAAAAAUAUUUGUUAAUAUAGCCGUUUGAACUGGAAUGGUGCAAGCUUUUUUAGAACUGGAUGCUUACAUAAAGACAUCAACAUGACUAAAAUUUGUCCACUCCCCAAGAAACUCAAGACAACGAGACUUUUAGAGUAUUGAAGAAGAUCCUCGUGCCAACAGAAAAUUUGUCUAAUCCCCAAAUGCCAAUUAGUUUGUGCAAUGUCAUCGACAAGAUUAUUACAAAUGUUUUAACUAGACAACUGAAGAAGAGUGUAACAUCCCGCUCUCGCAGAUUAUUGUUGGGCCAAAUUCCAUCAUUAUUUGAAGCCCAUAAAAGUCCAAUGGAAUUUAUAAUUAUCAAAAUGACAUAGGCCAUGUCGUUAGAUUUGGAUGAGCUAGAGUAUAUAUACUAUAUACACAUGUGUAGCUAUCGCCGUGGUCGUUUUGAGAGGAAGGAGAGGGAGUUCGUGUGAACCCUAAAAGCGCCGCCAAGCCCAAGCCUCUCUCAAUAUUGGAGUUCACCAUCAUCACCGGCGUUGUCAAGUUAUCACCGCCAACUUUGCCGGCAUUGCUGAAGUGUUCGUCGUCAUCAUCGAGACCAAAAUAAUAAGUGUGGCGUGUAGAUAAAGAGAAGAAGAGAUUGAUCGAGUACCAAACCAGAGCAAAGAGAGAAACAUACCAGAGUCACCAAACCAAAGAGAAAGUAAGCAUCAUGAUUCACUAUAGGAAAAAUAAAGAGAUUGGUUGCGUCGGAGAUAAAGCGGUAGACCGGAGUGACGACAAUCGAGACGAGACCGGACAACGGUGAUGAUGAGGCAGUGGAGUGAAUUGGUAGUAGAUCGGAAGCGGUGGUUUUAGGAUCAGUCGAGGAGGAUGAGAAGAAAGUGAAGAUGCAGUUAUUUUGGUGUUCUGCACUAGUCGUUGAAGUAGUACAUAAAGUAGUACAAGAUAUGAUUCAGGAAGAUGAGAUGCAUAACUGCUGAUGAGGAGCUCGAGUACUUGGAUGUUGGAGCGUUUGUUAAGUCAAGGAAAAGGAAAAUAUCUUUGUUUGAAGACAAAAGGAAUCAUGUAAGCAAAGAGGAAGUUUGCUUGAAGUGAAAAGGAAAUUGCCAAAAAGGAAAACAUUUUCCUUAUGGGAUUUAGAAACUUUCUCUUAUGUGUGAUUGGAAGAACUUGAGGUGCAAGUUUCUGUUUAUUAUAUAAGGGGGACGUGACCUUAUGAGAAACCGGAUUUGCAAGAGGAAAAAUCCCAAAGAGAUUCGAUGUGAGAGAUUGUGUGUGUGAUCGUGUGCGACGUAGUUUCGCGGGUUAAGUGCUUGUGUGAUCAAGCUUAUUUGUGUGUUGGUGUUGACGGUUCAUAUUGGAGAAUCUUGGUGAUCGUUGGGUUCGUUGGCGUGACGGUUCGUGCGUGGUGGUUGUUCCAAAGACUAGGAGAAUUGAAGUCUAGACUCAGGGGGAGUUUAGCUCAGGGUUAGGUUAUCCUGAUUAAAUCUAGGCUCAGGAGAGUUUAGUUAAGGGUAGAGAUUUAUCCUUAAAAUUUCAUGUUAAUAUAACGGAGCGGUGAAUCAAGAGGGUUGUGCUUGAUUUACGCGUUUGCGAAUAGGUUGUAUUUGCUUUCUUGUUCUAAUGGAAUCGAAAUCUGGACGUGGUCCCGGGGAGUAGGAAAAACCGAACCUCGUUAACAAAUUUCUUGUCUCGUUUACUUUCCGUAAUUUAUUUGACCUCAUCCGCACUUACAAUUGGUAUCAGAGCGGGUUCUCGAUAGAGAUUUAGUCUUGUUUCGGGUAGAUCAGGAUGAGGUUCAGCAGAUCGUUUAGGAGAUUGUUCAGGAGAUCGUUCAGGAGAUCAUUCAGGAAAUCGUUCAGGAAGUAAAACAGAGCUAAGCAUCGUGCGUUAUGGAUUCAUACAUCUCAGGAAUAUUUGGUCUAAGAGAGUUAAUCAUUAUGAUGAUGGUGCAAUGGUAUUUCAUUCUUCGUUUAGAUGGAGGCGAUCGUUUGGUUAGUUUUUGACCAUGAUGUGACUCAAGUAAGGGGAGAUUGGAGUUAUUGGUGUUGUGUUACUGGUGAUGAAGUUAUUGAAGCUAGAGUUGUUGAGUUCACAUACAUAGUCAAAAAGGGGGAGAUUGAAGAUGCAGUUAUUUUGGUGUUCUGUACUAGUCGUUGAAGUAGUAUAGAAAGUAGUACAAGAUGUGAUUCAGGAAGAUGAGAUGCAUAACUGCUAAUGAGGAGCUCGAGUACUUGGAUGUUGGAGCGUUUGUUAAGUCAAGGAAAAGGAAAAUAUCUUUGUUUGAAGACAAAAGGAAUCAUGUAAACAAAGAGGAAGUUUGCUUGAAGUGAAAAGGAAAUUGGCAAAAAGGAAAACCUUUUCCUUAUGGGAUUUAGAAACUUUCUCUUAUGUGUGAUUGGAAGAACUUGAGGUGCAAGUUUCUGUUUAUUAUAUAAGGGGGACGUGACCUUAUGAGAAAGCGGAUUUGCAAAAGGAAAAAUCCCAAAGAGAUUCGAUGUGAGAGAUUGUGUGUGUGAUCGUGUGCGACGUAGUUUUGCGGGUUAAGUGCUUGUGUGAUCAAGCUUAUUUGUGUGUUGGUGUUGACGGUUCAUAUUGGAGAAUCUUGGUGAUCGUUGGGUUCGUUGGCGUGACGGUUCGUGUGUGGUGGUUGUUCCAAAGACUAGGAGAAUUGAAGUCUAGACUCAUGGGGAGUUUAGCUCAGGGUUAGGUUAUCCUGAUUAAAUCUAGGCUCAGGAGAGUUUAGUUAAGGGUAGAGAUUUAUCCUUAAGAUUUCAUGUUAAUAGAACGGAGCGGUGAAUCAAGAGGGUUGUGCUUGAUUUACGCGUUUGCGAAUAGGUUGUAUUUGCUUUCUUGUUCUAGUGGAAUCGAAAUCUGGACGUGGUCCCGGGGAGUAGGAAAAACCGAACCUCGUUAACAAAUUUCUUGUCUCGUUUACUUUCCGUAAUUUAUUUGACCUCAUCCGCACUUACAGAAAGAGUAGAAAAAAGGCAAAAGAGAACAAGAAAGAAAUAAAGAAGAAGAAAACGGGGACGAAGGUGGAGACGUCGCAGAGAAUAUAUCAUCACCAUCGCAAGGGUGAAGCAAGGGAUAUAGAGAUCUGGUUCAUGAAAACAAAGGGAAGUGAAGAUCAAGAUGAUCAGAUCAUAUCUAGGCUGGGGCAAAAGCAAAACAGAAGCAAAGAAGGAAAGAGAUGAAGGAAAAAGUGGCAGUUCAAGUUGGGAAUUUGUGAGUCUUCUAUCUGGUAAACCAUUGGAAAUCAGACCACAAAUAAGACGUCUCUAGAAAGGUCACAUUGCCACGUAUCCACCGCAACUGACGGAGUUUGAAUCAAGUUUAUAUUCGAGAAGUUAUGCAUGUUUCUUCCUAGACAAGUAACUGCAGAAACUGUCCAAAUCUGUGCUAAGUAUGAACAUGAAAACAGCUUCGUGUUGGCUUCUUUGAGACAACGUUUAGAGAUCCGAAACUCUGCCGAUCAGAACGAAAUUUGGUGGAGAGCUUCAUGGUACUACUGGCUAAAUAAUCAACGGUGGGAUUAUGAUUAUAUCGGUUAGUGCUUGGCUUAUGAGUAUAUUUCCGAGACAGUUUUGUAUAAAGUAAAUUGUGACGAGUUUGUGUUGUUGGUUGAGUAAAUGAGCUCGAUUUUAGCUGAGACCUUGCAGGAGGCUUCAUUAAUUGUGGGCUUAUGCCAUUGUUGAAGAAGAACCAAGAUGGAUCCCAAGAGUAUGCAAUGAAAGCUCUUGUAGUAAAUUAGUCUAAAGGAGAAGAAAGGAGAAGUGAGUUGUUGUCAUCAAGUGACCAAGGUGAGGGUGGUAUUUGCGAAGCAUAGUAUCAUUUUCUUUUGUUAUGCUUCUGGACGCAUGAUAUGUAGGCUUAGAUCUGAUUGUAUAGGAUAAGAUUAUGUGAUGAUAUGACUUGAUGAUUGUUGAGUGUGAUAUGUGUUAGUAUGAUCUACAAGAAAACACGUCAUUUGUGACCCUCAUUUUGGUUGCUAAACGGUCGCAAAAUAGGGUUUUGCGACUCAUUCACGACUAAUUCAGAUAGUCACAAACAAACGGUCGCAAAAUUUUCCAGUCCCAAGAUAGUCGCUAAUUUGCGACUGUUUUCCAACAUAAAAUAUAUCAUCGCAGAUUAACGACUAAUCUGUGACUGAUGAAUGUCGUUGUAAAUUUCUGAUUAAAGAGCGACAAACGUAAGUUAGCGACUAGUUUGCGACUUGUUAGGUACAAACGAAAGAGUUCUUGGAUCGAAUAUUUAGUCCCACAUUAGUCACAGACGAUAUAUCUUUUAGUACCAAUUUAGUCGCAAAAGAGUCUUAAUAAUUUGCGACCAAUUUAAGACUCUUAUUUUUGUGUAGCAAAAGAGUCUUCUAUUAGUAACCAUUUUGAUACCAGGUUUGGAGUUUUUUGUAAUAAUGUUUAGUCACACAUUGGUCACAUUUGUUAAUUGCUUUAGUCACAUAUUGGUUACAUGCUAAUAAUCCCAAACCUGCAAUUUCGAUUUCAAAUGCUAAUAAUCCCAAACCUGCAAUUUCGAUUUCAAAUGCUAAUAAUCCAUCAUUCACAAACCAUUCAAAAACCAUCCUAAAAAAUAUUAAAGAGGAGCAGUGUUAGAUAAAGGAGAGGCUGGUGUGGUUGCAGGUGUGAGUCCUGCUGGUUGGAUUGCUGCUGCUAUGGUGGUUGGAAGGGUGUCUGUUUGUGUGAUGGAUGGUAUGAUGACUUCUAGUUGAAGGAGUGUAGAAGAAGACAUGAAAGCUGCCAAGUCAGGAUCCUUUUCUUUCAUAGAGAGGAUGAGCUUCUCCAAGCUGGCGAUCCGAGCUUGAGACGUGCGAUGCUCUGCAUCACGUGUUGCAUUUUCAGCAUCAUGAUCAGAGAUCUUGCGCCGCAUCUGAUCUUGAAGUUCAACAACUGUAACUGUAGAAGAAGAGCUCGUGUAACUCUCCUUCCUUUUUCCUUAGUGUAGGGUCUCCACAAAAGAUCCAAGGCCAUAAGGGUUGCCUUGGUCAUCUGUAUGAGUACACUGAAACAAAAAAAAAACACAUUCAGUAAAGUAAUGCUCAGCAGACAAGACUAUCAUCAUAUUCCAAGCAAACAAAAUCAUAUAGGUGUCAAACUAAAGUCAUAAAUGAAUUACCUUAAGGAAGAUAUCAUUCAUUUCAUCAAUGCUGAGUUCUAUAGGAUGCGUUGAAUGUUCAGAGGAAAUCUCUGAAGUAUCCUGACCCUCCUCUUCAAGUUCAGCCAAUCUCUCUUCAAUUGUCUUCUUAUACGACUCAGCAACUUGUUCAGACUUUUGAUCCACAAAAGAUCCAUCAGCUCUAGUAUGCGUUCUCAUAAACACUUCGCCAAGUGAAACUGGACACCCCAACUCUUCCUCCUAAAAUGAAAGACAAAUAGAUUAUCAAGUGUAGAAAUAUUAGAAAUUUUGUAAAAAUAAAGUGUUUGGAUGGAAAGAAACAUCUUACCAUCUCUUGAUGAACUUGGAUAAAAAGAUUUCUGACCGGCUAAGUGUUUGUGCACUCCAAGUCGGCCACGAUCAGAAUUUCUGCAUUGUAAAGCAUUCUUACUCCUCUCUAUAGCAUCAGCGGUUUUCCAAAAUAGCUGCAUCUCAUCCCAAAGUGUGUCACCAAUCCAAGUUGGUUGUACACCAGUCUUCUUCAUUUGACUGACAAUCCCUUUCAUUCGUUUCUUGGCUAUAACCAAGAAUCCUUCUCUAACAAGGGCAGUAAUUCCAAUAUCCCAAUUAAACUCCUGCUACAUAACACAAAACAGUAAGUUAGUUAUAACAUACUAGUCAAAUAUACUACAGUAAGAGAGAAUGUCAUUACCGCAAAAUUCCUAAAAUAUCUCUCUCGUUUGUCUAUUGGAGUAACCUUCCAGCUGUAGUAAGGCCCAUCAAACUUCUUCCUAAAAAUUCUGGAAAUCGCUCGGGACAGCCUCCCGUUGUGCCGGUUAAACCUGUUACAAUAACAGGCUAUUAGUAGAUAAAGCAAACAACUUAGGACAACUCUAAUAUACUCAACAGAUUAGUUAAAUAAACAAGACUCUAUUAUACUAAACACAUUGCAAGAACAGAAGAUAAAUGUAUGCGGCUUGACUGUCCUUUUAGAACUAAGGAGCAAGAUGUACAUAUAAGCAUAUAGACACAGGGAUUGUAAUUCAGUCCAUUAUUAAAUCAAACUAAGUUUUUAAGAAUAAUGACUGUUUGAUUAUUGACAUAUAAGCAUAUUCAAAUUCAUUAUUAAAUCAAACAUAUAAGCACUAGAUAUGGACCCGUGCGUUGCACGGGUUGCUGGUCGAAAUUAUCAUUUUUAUUUUUUUGGUAAGCUUAACUAAAAUUAUAUAAACAUAUAUGUUUUAAUUUUAGAAAAUGGCAUGAUAUAUUUCCAAUAAAGCUCCCUCUUCCCUAAGAGCUCCCUCUUCUAUAAUUUCGAUUUUCUCUUCUGGCGGGGCCGAGAGUUCGGAAUAGAAGAGGAAACUUUUGAAAUCUUCGCAUGGAUACUUUGGUAUAUAUGGAAAAGUCGUAACCGGUUUGUGUUCAAAAAUUUUAAGGAACCUCCUUUGGAGACCUUAGGUUUGGCCGUGAAAGAGGCAAGUGCAUGGAGACAAGCAAAUCUAAAGGAAGCGGCCGUAGUCGAGUCCAUAUCCCUUCCGACUCUUGUAUGCCUUCCCCCUCCUCGGACCCCCGAAUGUCAGUUUGACGCUUCUUGGCAUUUGGAUGCAUCCUGAGCGGACAUGGAUGGGUUUUAAUCAACCAAGAUGAUUGUAGUCUCCUCGGUCUCAGGAGUACGAGAAGAAGUCUGUCACCACUUCACGCGGAGGUAGACUCUUUGUUGUGGGCAAUGGAGUGCAUGAUUUUGAGGGGUGAUACCUCUGGAGCUUUCGCCACUGACUGUUCCGACUUGUUGUCUCUCCUAGACCACCAAGACGAGUGGCCAACUUUCGCCGCUGAAUUGGCUUCUUUUCGAUCUCUGAGGGACGCUUUCCCAUCUUUUAGCAUUAGAUUUAUUCCACGUUGUUCUAAUUCUCGAGCCGACUGUCUAGCCAAAAAAGCUAGGGCUCGAAACGUUCUUUUCUCCCAUGUAAGCGAGUCGGUUCCUGAUUGGCUCUCCCUAGCGGAUUGUCUCUUUCCGACAACUUAAUAGAAAUGGUGUUUGUGGGAAAAAAAAAAAAUAUGGACCCGUGGUAAGCUUAACUAAAAUUAUAUAAACAUAUAUGUUUUAAUUUUAGAAAAUGGCAUGAUAUAUUUCCAAUAAAUGAUAAAUAAUUUUUACAUGAUUUAUGUAAAUUUUAAAGUCACCCUAUCACCACCUUCGUAACCAUCAACCACCACCAUCGUCACCUCUAUUAACAAUCACAAUGCUACUCCUAUUUCUUUUAAUAUGACAUGCUACUUUAUUAAAUGACAUUUUUUUUCCUCUGAUUCUCAUUAGAUGUCUCUCUUUCGUCGUCAAAUGUCCAGUUCUGAUUUUUUUUUUCUGAUUUCUUGUUAUUAAUAUUUAUUACAUGUUUUUUUUUUCUCUUAGUUACCUGUACGUUUUGUCUUUUGUUUGAGGGCCAUUUCAUCUCUAAAAAACAUUAGUUUUCAAUUUUUUUAUCUGAUUUACAAAGGUUAAUUACUAAUAUUAUCCUAAAAAUAAUUUAUGACAAAAAAAAGAGGAAAAGCUUUACCAAUAGAAUGAAGUUAAAGCAAUGGUGAUGUUUAUGUGUAAAUUAGUUUGCUUGGGGAGAAAAUAUGAGACAAUAUAUUUGUUUAUAUAGAGGUGAGUAUUUACAAUCCUUUUUCUUAUAGGAUUAAUCACGGAUUAUAUAAUUUCUUUAAUCCUUUUUCUAUUUUGAAAUCCUUUUUCUUGUACUGUUAGCAUAAUUUUAUGAUUUCAAUAUUUAUGAAAAAUUAAUAUACAUAUAAUUUACUUAUAUAUACGUAUAGUUUCCUUAUAAGAAUAUUUUUCUAUUUUUGAAAUUAAACUUUUUAAAUUUAUAAUUAUAUUAUAUAUUUUUACAAUUUAUAAUUUGUUAAAACCAAAUUUUUGUGUGCCACAUAGUAAAUCUCUUAUGGAAAUAUAUGUAUAAUUUCCUUACAAUUAUUUUUUUUUCAAUUAAAACUGCUAAAUUUAUAAUUUUCUUAUAAUUAUUUUUUUUCUUUUUUAAAUUAUUUUAAAAGGAAAUAUUUAUUUGAUAUAUGGCAAAACAUUUAAUCAUCUACCGUCGGUGUAACUUUUCAUAAAUUAUUAUUUUUAAUUCUUAAUUUUUAGUUACGAAAAUGUUGCAACAUUUGGUUUAUUUGACGAAUCAUUGCAACUUUUGGUUUUAUUUUACGAACCAUUGUAAUCUUUAGUAUAUUUGAUGAACCACUGCAACAUUUGGUAUAUUUGACGAACUGUUGCAGCUUUUGGAAUUAUUGUUAUCUACGGUCGCGUUUCUCGAGUUAAAGUUCGUCAUAUUUUUUUAAAAUAUUUAAUUACUAAAAUAAAUUUAAAUGAAUUGUUUUUACUGCUUAAUUUAACAUAGUUACAUUUGGUUUAUUUGACGAACCAAUGAAUAUUUGGUUUAUUUAUCAAACUGUUGUAACCUUUGGUUUAUUUUAUGCAUUUUGCACUUGGGGAUAGUUUUUUUAGUUACAAAUUAAUGUUUUCUAAUACUAAUAUACUUAAUAAAUGCUUGUGAGGGUUUUUUUUUAAUCAUAAUUUUCGUAAAAUAUAUAUUGAUUUAUUAUUAAAAAAAUUACAAAUUUGUUACAAUUCAUUAUGACUUUUAGUUUGAUAUUUUUCUUAAAACAAUUUUUGAAAUAUUUUCUCCCGCGACAUCGCAGAGGUCCUGAAUCCUAGUUUAUAUAAUAGUAGGAUAACAUAUUUGGAGAAAAACCUUUAAUUUGAUUAUAUUUACAUUAUAUGCGAUUACAAUUUUUAAUUUUGCCUAAGAUAUUAGGGUUUUAAAAGUAAGGUAAAAUAUUAAUUAAUUUUAUUGAUUAAUUUUUUUGAAAAUCUCACUACAAAUAUUUAUAUGGAGAUUUUGUAUAUUAAAAAGUUAAGAUUUUUGGAAAUUAAAUAAAAACAAAUUUUUUUAAUAUAUAUAUAGUAGAUCAAAGGGAAUACAAAAUCAAAUAUAAAUAUAAAACGCUUAUUGUUAUAAACCAUAUGGAUGGACUCCAUAACCGGCCCAUGGCCCAUUAGGGUUUUACCUUAUUCUCUGUAUCCUGUUAUUAUCCUUGUAUAUAUAUCCCUUAUUCUAUUAAUGAAAGACACAGUUUACAACACGUCAUCAGCACGAUAGUCUCUCACCCUAAAAGUUAAAAAUCCCGAAACCCUAAAUCUCUCUCACAAAAAUACGAAACCCUAACCACAUGACCUAAGAAAAUUUUUAUGUCUAAACACUAGUCGAUGGUGCAAUGUUUUCCGACGUCUCCGUUCGCCGAUCAAGCGUAACACACGGUUUCAUUAUAAAGAUAAGUAGCGCUUCUUGCUUUUAAUCAUUUGACUCAUGAUUUAUUGUUAGUUGCUUUGAUUAUCGUUCAUGAGAUGUGUUUGUUAUUAUCAAAAUAUCGUAUGGAGUCUUAUUGCUCAUUAUUUUAUUACUUGGUUUGGUCAAACGUUUGUUUUGCUUUGGUAAAUUAUUAGAUUCUUAUUGUUAGUUAAUCACCCUAUGCUUAUGGAAGAGAUCUGUUAGUUAUUUGUUGAUCUUCCGAUCGAAUCAGAUUCCACUCUAUGACAAUUAAAACCUAGAUUCCACCACAGUAAUUAAUUAAUUAAUAAAAGUAUUUUGUCGUUAUACACAUGUUUGAUUAUUGAUCUACCGAGACACACAUUUAAUAGUUUGGUCCUUGGUUAUUGAGUUUGGAUUGGUAUAUGCUUUGGGUAUGAUUUUCUCAUAGCUUAUUAUUAUCAUUUACUACUUUAGCCAAACACAUGUUUUCAAUUGUUUGGUUUAAUGUUAUAUUGAUUAUCAAAUUGAUAAGCACCGAACGAUCACGUUUAAGUAUAUGUGUUUAAUAAAUUUAAUGUAUAUAAUCCAUAGCCAUGUUUCCCAUGAGCAAAAUUUUUUUUUUUGAGUUUCUCAGGAAUCAGGAUUGUAUAUAUUGAGAUUUUGUAGGAGGUCCCAACCAGCUAAGAAACAUAACUGUUUCCAAUCUCCGUAUCAGAUCUCGGGUCUCUGUUUCUGUUCUCCAAUUAAGAUAAGCGCUAUUUAUUUAUUAUGCUUUAUAUACAUGAUCCAAUUAAAGUUUGAUAAGAUAAAAUUUGCAUGAAAAUUGGCACAUGUGAUUUGAUUUAUGAUUUUUGUUUGGAGAAUUAAUUGAGAAGUUAGUGAAUGGAUAGAUGUUUAAUGGCAUGAUAGAUUGAAUGUUUUAAUAUAAACCCUAGGUUAAACCGAAAGUAAACCGAAACCCUAAAUCCUAGGUUAAACCGGUUUAAUAAACCCUAAGUCACGGUUUAAGAUCAAGUGUCCCAUAAAUAGAAAGUUCCAUAUAAGGAAAGUUUCCAGAAAUAGAAAGUUUUGUAAAAUAGCAAGUUUCCCAAAAUAAAAGGUUCCCUAAAAUAGCAAGUUUCCCAAAAUGGAAAGUUACCAAAAUAGGAAACCUCUUCAUAAGGAAAUAUUCCAAAACCGUAAAGUACAUGUUUGUUUAGGAUUUAUUUCUAGAUGAGAAAUAGAAAGUUUCCAUAAAUGGAAAAUUCCAUAUAAGGAAAGUUUCCAUAAAUAGAAAGUUCCAUACAUACCGAAACCCUAGCAAAAACCCUAGUACUAUAAAUCGCGGAUGCUAAAACCCUAAAACUUAACCGCGAAAUCCUAAUAUCCUAAUCUAGUAUGAUUCGAUUGUUUGGUUGUUGCAUACUAGAUCGAUCUUAUAGGGUUGAUUUCAUCCAUAUAUAUAUAACAUGAUUGUUUAGAAAACACUUGUUGAAGACAAGCAUGGCUCGGUCUUAAAUACCGCAUGACUUGGUCUAACCGAUUACAUGAGUUCUCAUUUAACUCUGUAUAUUAUAGAUAUCAGAAAUCAAGUAUUAUGAAUACACGGCACUCAAUGCCUCUGGUGACAAUUAUUUAAAAUGGGCUUUGGACACUAAGAUUGUCCUAAAAGAAAAAGGGCUUGGUGAAUCUAUUAUGGAAGGUUACAAUGUCACCAGAAGAGAAAGAUAUAAGGCGAUUACUAACAUACGCCAUCACCUCAAUGAGAGUCUCAAAAUCAGUACCUCACUAUUAAGAAUCCUCUGGACCUCAGGACAGAGUUGAAAAAAAAAAAAAAAAAAAAAAAUCAAUAUUAAAAAUAGUAUAACUCAGCACUAUUACCCAAGAACGGUGCUAUUACCCAAAAUCAAAGAACGGUGCUAUUACCCAAAAGUCCGAUUCGAUCGGGAGAAUCUCAGAUUCCAGGAAUUCAAAUCCAUGAAUUAGUAUAACUCAGCACUAUUAAAAAUAGUGUCAAUACUGAGAUUCCGUGGUGAGGAAGUUACUGAGAAUGACUUGCUAGAGAAAGCAUUCUCGACCUUUCACACAAACAAUGUAUUGCCUCAGCAACAAUAUCGUGAAAAAUGUUUUUACCACAUAUGCAAGUCUAAAUUCUUGUUUUGCUACUUGCUGAGCAAAAUAAUGAGUUAUAAAAUAGUGAAAUGAGACCUCCUCGUCCUACCCCAUUAUCAGAAGCCCAUUGGGCUGAAGAGCCUAAAGAGCCUAAAGAGACUAAAGAGUCUAACCACGUCCAAAGAGAUAAGUAUCAUGGCCACAGUCAUGGUAAAUGGAAUGAACGUGGUAGAAGUGGCAAUUAUAAUUUAUAUGAUCAAGGAAACCAUUCAUAUGGUUAAGGCCGCCGACCUGACUUUGGUCGUAAUCGAGGUAGAGGCCACGGUAUACCCAAACCACAACACUCAAAUAAACUUGUUUGCCAGUGAUGAGGAAUGGGGAAACCAUUGGACUAAGACGUGCAUGACACCUAAGCAUCUCGUUGAUCUCUAUCAAGAGAGUUUGAAAAGAAUCUAGAAGCUCAUUUAGUUCAUCACGAUGGUGAAGAAGAUUUCGACCAUGAGAUAGAUGACUAUGAGAAUUCAAUAAACGAAAUAUCUAAAGACAUGGUUCAUUAGCCAAAUUGCGGGUAUAGCUAAAUUUAGUAAAGGCUAAGGGCAGGCCAAUGGCAGGCCCAUAUUCCCAAGGACACGCAUCCUCAGAUGGUUCAUAUUCACCCAGCUCAAAGGGGCUUGUUGAGUUUCAACGAAAUGUGUUUGAAUGGUUUCCACAUUGAAACUAAGGGUGAAGGGAACAAAGGAUUCCCAUAUAUUACUAAAAGUACCCAAGACCAUGAGAAGGUCUUAGAGACUAUACCCGCGUCAUAGACCUUUACUAUGCCAAGGUCAAUAUGAUAGAGGCUAAUACAGUAAACAAAAGGGUUUACUAAGAAAUUCACUAAUGGCAUGACCGGCUUGGCCAGCCUGGUUCUAACAUGAUGCGUAAAGCUGAUAUCUCUAUACUAUUAAAAGAGAAGUACAAAUGAAAAUGGGUCGGGUUAAAAUCAGAAAAUUGACCCGAAAUUAUGAAAUCGGAUCUUUGAAAUUUUUUUGGAAUAUAAAUUUGAAUUAAUAAUGAAAAAUCGAAAUAAAAUCAAAUAUUUAUGGAAAUCAAAUAAAAUCUGAUUGUACUUAUGGUAACUAAUAAUAAAAGCAUAUUCCAAACAAUAUUAUACAUUAAUUACGUAUAAUAAAUUUGUUCAUAUAUUUUUGGGACUAAUUCCAUAACAAUCAACGUUUUUGUCAUUAAUUUCGCUCAUUUUAGCCAAUUAUCAUUAAUUGAAAGAUAUUUUACUUGCUUCUAAAGAUUUCUGGAAAAUUUAUCACAAAUAAUCCAUCUGUUUUAUAAAUUAAAUUGAUAUUUUUAUUUUGGUCGUGUAAAUUAAAUAGAUAUUUUUAUUUUGGUCGUGUAAAUUAAAUAGAUAUGAAAUCCAUGUAACUAAUUUUAAUUUAAUUAGAUUAAAUCGAAAUUAUGAUAUUUUCAUACCUAUAGCUUACCCAAAGAAGUUUAAUUUUCGAUUUAUAAAGAUUUCUUUAAUAUGAUUUUAGAAUUAUUCAACAAGAUGAUAAGUAUUUAUUAAAUUUUGUGAAUCAUGAAAAAGAAUAAUUAAUUUUUAAUCAUUAUACUUCAUCUUUCAAUCUCUCAUCUAGAUACAUAUUCUAUUAUUACUAUGUCCAAACUUCUUUUGUUGUAUGACUAAAUAAUAUUCCCAUUAGAACUGUCAAAGCGAGUUGAUUCGUCCCGUUAAGUCCGUUUUGCGAUAGACAAAAAAUAUUUUGACUUAUAGUUAGUUGGUCCUCACGACCCGCGGGUAGCAUAUAUGAAAUACAAACCCGUCCCGCGAAUGUAUGCGGAUUUGCGGGAUUGUCCAUGGAUUUUGUUUAAAUAAUUUUAAAGUAACCAAAAUUUAAAAUACUACUAAAAUAAAUAAAUAAAUCAAAAUACUAUUAAAAGUUUGUUUAAAUUACCACAUGUUGAAUAAAUUAUAAUUUUAUCAAUAAAUACUAAUAUGCGGGCUGAUCCGCCAACCCGCGGAUGAAAACCGAUUAAACCUAUGACCCGCCAAUCCAUGUGCCCCGCUUAUUUGCGGGUUUAAUAUAUUUUCCCAAAUCUGCCCCAUAGUGAGAUGAUGUGGGCUGGACCCGCGGUUUUUGACCUAUUUUGACUGCUCUAAUUCCCAUGAAUCGUCUAAUUUUAGAAUUUUAAAACACAAAAUUCUAUUUUGUAAAUUAUAAUUAUUACGAUGGGUAUAUUUAUAAACAAUUUUACAUUUUCUCUACAAUUCGUUAUUAUGAAUAUUUAUAAGUAUACUACACGAUUCGUUCUACUAAAAAACACACACAAUAUUAAACGCAACAUAUGUAAACCAAUAUUCUCCCGCGGUGGACCGCGGGUCCGAUCCUAGUUAAAAUCAAAAGGGCACACCCCUUAAGGACCUCACGUGUGUAGCAUGUAAACAAGGGAAACUCAUACUAAGGCCAUCACCAGUCAAAGCAACUAGAAACUUGGUGUUUGCUAGAUUGCUGGCCCAGACCAUAAGUCUGUGAGCCCACAUACUUAAGACUAUAUGUCUAGAUAAUACUGGUAAAUUAUGUCCCAAGCGUUUUAUGGCUACAGUAUGUCCAUGAGGGGGAGAGUAGUAUACCCCGUGGCACAUGUCCAUACUUGAACUCACAGUAGCUGCUUGGGGACACGCAAUAUUACAUGCAACAAGAGCUUAUACGCAUCAGGCCAUUCUAGUGAGCAUAGAUAUUCACCAUCCCAACUACUCAUAGGUCAGGAGCCAGAUAUGUCCCAUCUAAAGACAUUUGGGUGUGUCACCUAUUUACCCAUAGAACCACCACAGAGAGCAAAUGAUGGGACCUCAAAAAGGGAUGGGAAUAUACGUUAAAAAUGAUUCUCCCACCAUCACUAAGUAUCUCGAGCCAAAGGCCAGAUACAAGGAUCGUCAUCUCAAUGAAUCCGUUUUCCCAACACUGGGUGGAGAGACUAACAAGCUGGUCAAAGAACUUACAUGGAAUCAAACAUCCUUCACAUGGCAAGAUCCUCGGACUCCAUCAGAAAUCCAAAAGACUAUAUAUCUGCAAAAGCUAGCUAAAACAGUUGCCAAGAUUCCUAUAAUGACCCAAAGAGAGUAACAAAAUCGUACAUAUCAGCUUGUAAUGCACCAGUACGUAUUGAUGUUCACAAGGAACACAAUCAAGUUGCUACAGAGGCUACAACACGUAAGAAACGUGGUAGACCCAAAAGGUUCCAGAGACAAGAACCCUCGGAAAUCAAAGAAAGGUGCAAGGGAAACCGAGAAGGUUUAAGAAACCAUAGACAUGGCCGGCUACUAGACAUAACCCUAAGGUACCAAUCAAUGAGGUUUGGACGCCAAACCUCAAGGUCCUGAAGGUGUAAAGAGAUCUCUAUAAACUAUAUCAUGUCUAGAAUACAAUGGAACCGAAAAGAUGUCGACAUCAAUGAUAAUAUAUUUGCGCACAAGGUAGCAACUGAAAUAAAUGAGGAUCAGGAGCCCACGUCUAUACUAGAGUGCACUCAAAGACUUGAUUGAUUAAAAUGGUACAAGACCAUAAAACGUGGAGCUAAGAAUCAAUGUAAAGCCAGUGGGACAAAUGAGUCUUUGUGAUUGUGUGAAAUAAACAUAGUGAAAGCUUGAUAUAUCAGACACAGCUUGUCGCACAAGGAUUCACACAAAGACCAGAAAUAGAGGAGAUAUACUCCCCUGUGGUGGAUGCUAAGACAUUUAAAUUUUUGCUAAGUCUGGCUAUAUAAAAGAGAAAGACUUGAUUUGCGGCUAAUGGAUGUAAUGCCUGCAUAUUUAUAUAAGUCCACUGGAUAAUAUAUGAGAUUACCAGAGGGUAGUGAGCUCAAAGAUAAGAAAGAUUCUCGAGAACAGCACUGCAUAAGGCUGGAAAAAUCCUUAUAUGGACUGAAACAAAGCGGACGUAUGUGGUAUAACCGGUUAAGCGAAUAUCUCAUCAGAGAAUGCUAUAAAAACGAUCCGAUCAGUCCAUGUAUUUUUAUCAAGAAGUUUGCAAACAAAGGAUUUGUAAUCAUAGUAGUGUAUAUGAAUGAUUUAAACCUCUGGGUAAUCGACCAAACAGUUGAAAGACCUAGGCAAUAAUUAAGUUCUGUUUGGGAUUACAACCUGAGUACGUGAAUAAUGGAAUCCUUGUGCAUCAAAUGGCAUACACUGAAAGAGUACUCAAGGAGAUUUAAUAAGGACCAGGCCCGCCCAUUGACCAGGCCCAAUGGUGGUGAGAAGCCUCAGAUUGGAUAGUGAUCCAUUCAGUCCGGAAAUGCCAUACCUCAGUGCCAUAGGAGUUCUAAUGAAUUUGGCUAGACACACUAGACCAAACAUUUGUUUUGCCGUGAGUCUCCUGUCUAAAUUUAGUUCAUGAUCAACCCAAAGGCACUGGAAAGGUUUAAAGGAAGGUUUGGUUAAAUUUUAAAGUUCAUUUUUCCUGCGUUGUUUACUUGGGUUUUAUUCUAUACUGAUCUAACCAAAGAAGGUCCAGUUUGCUUUGGUUUAGUUUGAUUUGCUGAUGCAGGUUAUUCAUAAGAUCAGAUUAUGGCAUGGUCAAUGAAUAGGAACUACGUGUGGCUUGAUCCCUUCCAAGGGUACGUAGGCAGCCUUCCUUAAGGCGCAGCUACUACUACUACUACUACUACUACUACAUCAAAGACUAUCAUAUUUGAAGACAACGCAGCCUGUAUUGCUCAACUCAAGGACGGCUACACUAAGAGAGACCGGACGAAGCACAUUUUGCCAAAGCUCUUCUUCACUCAUGAAUUACAGAAGGACGGUCAGGUCAAAGUUCAACAGAUCCGGUCAAGUGAGAAUUCAGCCGACCUAUUCACCAAAUCAUUGCUGACUUCAAUGUUCCGGAAGCUCAUUCAUCAGAUCGGGAUGCGCGGACUUAAGGGUCUACAGUGAUGCUCAAUCAGGGGGAGUAAUGCGUGUUGUACUCUUUUUCCUUCACCAUGGUUUUGUCCUACUGGGUUUUCCUGGUAAGGUUUUAAUGAGGCAACAUUCCCCAGCGCAUUAUAGAGAUCCCGGUUUAGUAUCGGGCACGGUUAUGUCUUCCAAGGGGGAGUGUUAUAAACCAUAUGUAUGGACUCCAUAACCGGCCCAUGGCCCAUUAGGGUUUUACCUUAUUCUCUGUAUCCUGCUAUUAUCCUUGAUUCCUUGUAUAUAUAUCCCUUAUUCUAUUAAUGAAAGACACAGUUUACAACACUUAUCAUUUUAAUCCUUAUAAUGUAUUAUUUUUGCAUACUUGUUUUCCUUUACUCUUGUUUCCAACAAACACCCAAACUUCAACGACUUGUUUCCAUCCAAACCCGAAUUACCAAAUGCUUACUUGACGUACUAAAACCUCGAACGUUGCAGAAGAAACCCGAUAAUGAUUCUUGCUUUUAUUAUUAUUUUUGCCGAGAUUACUAAGAAUAAAAUCUUUCGCUUUUUGAGAGGAGUCUGCCAAGUACUUGGAAAGUGGUGCUCUCAACGGAACUCCACCCCUUCCAUUUUUUAACUUAUCUGUUUUCUCCAAAUCUACUACAACGUCACUACCUAGCACAUCGGACCCAUUCCUCUUCUUUGUCCUUUAAAACUUCACAGCGAGUGGGCGAUGCAAUGGGUACUUGACCAUACACCAACCCAUCACCUAAAUUUUUUGUUUGAAAUCUUUCCUCAUCCAAAAUGUGUUACCUUCGUCCUAUCACCCUAAUUCAUUUAAUUGGUCGUACCAGUUUUUAGGGAGUUUAGAAUCUCUUCGUUCUCUUUCUUCCAUCAAUUGCUCUCCAGCCUUCACCCUGUCAUCAUCCUCUAUCCAAGGCGUAACCAAACUCUUUUUAUGGUCCCCAAUAGUCCAUUACCUUAUUUUGAGCUAUCAAAACAAAGUGAGGGGAAACAGAGCUUGGUGAGACCGAACUCCACUCAUUUUCUCUCGUCAUAACAUUAUAUUUCCUCCCCAUAUUAGCCGAGCAUCCAUCUUUUAUAUUUUUAACAGAAUAUAAUGUAAUGAUGUUCUUGUAAUUCUCGCUUUGUCUUUAAAGCUAGUUUGCUUUCUCUCCUUCCUUAACCAUAGAAAUCGAUUUUCUUUAAACUUUCAUUUUUCAUUCAUUCUUUGCAUACAUUACUACAUCUUGUACGUUAAUUCUUAUAGUGAUAGUCUUCUACUAACUACACAUAAUUAAGCCAUACUUUUACACCCUAGAUUCUCUUACACAAGCCACACUACAGACACUAACUCAGCCAUUCUUACACACUUACUUAGACUGUAAUAACUCCAAUAAUUGGCUUACUCAUAUUUAUCUAUACUAGUAUUUUUGAAGUACAUUUUUAGUGGGUGGGUUAAAUUGUUUUCAGACACAAAUGGUACCCAACCCGAUAAGAAAAUUACUUCAUAAAAAUUUGGUUGGAUCAUGUUAUAUUUAACCCAACUCUUACACCGGUAUUUGUCUUCACGUUGGAUACAAAUGUUACCAAAAUUGGAUCGUAUCCACUAAUUACAUUUCUAUAUUUAAUAAUAAAAAUAUUUUGAAGAUUUAAUUCUCUUUUAAAUUUUGUGAUUCUCCUUUUAUCUUUGUUUGAUUGUUAACUGUUUUGAAUUAUCAUAUUAUACAUGACACACUAACCCUUUAAGGCUUUAACUUUGUUGACUUCUCUUCCUCUUCCACAACAACGACCACUUCAUAUUCUUCCUUCACUUCCAAAUCUCUUUGUUCUUGCUUAUCUUCUCAUUUUUGUCUCUAAUCAUAUUUUCUUUCCCAAUUGCAGGAUCAAUCAGAGACUCGACCCUCAACUAUAUUUUAUAUCUUAACUAGAUAAGGACCCGUCCGAUAGACGGGUUUAAUUUUUUUACAAUUAAAAUUAAAUUUAACAAAAAAAUUAAUUAACUUCUUUCAAAAGUAAAAAAUAUUUACUUUUUCACUGUUGCAUUGUUUCUCUAACCACUAAAAUUAUUAAUUCAAAAUUAUUUCGAAUGAAAGAUAUAUCUCAUAACAAUAACUCAUGUUGUACCUAUAUGAAGAACUAAAAUUAAAAAUAUUCAUCAUAAAGUUAGCGAAUGAAACCAAAGUCGUUUUGAAUAUAGACACGUUAAAAAUAUAAAGAUGAUAAAUCGACUAAAUCCCUUAGUCUUCUAAGCUAACGUUGCAGGAUCGAUUCCUAUAUACUCGAUUUCAAUGACUUUAUGAUCAAUCAAUAAAAAUUGAUAAAUUCAAAAAAUUAUAAGCACGGUGAUAUAUGAAUCUUAUAUAAUUUAAAUAUGAACAUAGAAAUUUAAAUAAACAAUUUUGAAGUAGUAUAAUUAAAUUCAGAAUAUCAAAAACAAAGAAGAAGCAUAUAUGGUUCUUACAUAUUCAAGAAUUUCAAAUAAAUAAUAUAAAACUUUACUUAAAUUCUUCACAUAUUUCUAAUUAGAAAAUAAAUUGAUAUAAAUAAUGUAAAUUUAUAAUUUAAAUCAUGAUAAUCUCACAAUACUACAAUCAUAAUUGAGGACAAACAAAAAACACAGUUAAGUAAAAAUUAUUACAAAAAGAAAAAACAAAUUGAUCUCUCAUAUUUUUAAUUGAAAAUAUUAACUCGGAUUAUUUUAAUUAAUUCGUCACAUAUUUCUAAUUAGAAAAGAAAUUGAGAUAAAUAAUAUAAAAUUUUAAAUUAAAUCAUGACACAUGAUAAAAAAUUUGACUGAUAACGGUUCAUGAUACUAUUAAUUACUAACAAAAACAUAUCAUAUUAGUUAUAUAAUAACGUAUGUUUCCUUUUUAAUAAAAUUUGCAUAAUUUUUUUUGUUUAAUUAAAAUAUAUAUUUUUAAAUAUAAAAACGUAUAAUUUCCUUAUUAUUAUCUUUAGACAUUUUUUAAAUUUUUUUAUAGAAAUCUUUAAUAAUUACAAUUAUCUUUAUAAUUAUCUUUUACAUUUUUAAAAUUAUUUAAAUAUAUAAUUACUUACAAUUAUUUUAUUUUUUCUAUUUUAAAAAAGAAAAUUUUGUUUUACACGUGUCAAAAUCUAAUAUUGAUAGAUUUGCCACGUGUCAUGAUCUGAGUUAUUAACUUUGAAAACCAUACUUUAUAUAAUACUUUAUUAUAUAAGAUAUUAUCUUUUUACCAUUUCUAAUUAUACUUGCUAAGAAAAGACAAAAAAAAAUUAAAUUUUUAGAAAAUUUCAAAGGGUGGGUCCGUGGUGUGUGUGUGGGGGUGGGGGGGGAGGGAUUAAUAAGUGGUUUAGCCACUUAGAUAUUUUUUAUGGUUGAUUGAUCCAACACAUUUUUAUGUCAUGAAAGAAUAUUUGUCUAUCAAAGAAUAAUUCCCAAGUGUUGUCGUUUUAAUGGGUUUUAUGGUGAAUACGCAAAACGAAGAUGGUAGUGGUAACCAUUCAUGGGGUUGCUUAAGAAAUUUAGUAAGAAGGAAACAAGUCGACUCUUCAAAUGGCAAAACAGAGACUCAUCAUCACCAACAACUCGCAAAAGCUUUGACCUUUCCUCACUUGAUUGCCAUUGGUACUAAUUUCGUUUUAGGAAUCUGGGUUUCUUAGAAAGUACAUGAAUUUGCUUAUUAUAUAAUCUGAUAUUGUGUCUGUGGUAUCUGGAUUUGUAGAUGGAUUUUAAAGAUUGAAGCUUUUUUGUGUUUGACUUUGUAUUAAUCCUCUGUUUCUGUAUGUUUACUUAUGUAUGUAUCUUCAAGGAAUAAAUUUUGGGUCUGUGUUUGGUUUGGCUUUGUUCCUCACUAAACCUUAAGAGUUUUGUUUCAUAAUUUUAGGUGUUGGAUCAACAAUAGGAGCAGGGGUUUAUAUUCUUGUGGGAACAGUGGCUAGAGAGCAUUCAGGACCUGCUCUUGCUUUUUCCUUCCUUAUAGCUGGAAUUUCUGCUGCGCUUUCUGCGUUUUGUUAUGCGGAACUAUCUAGUCGUUUUCCCUCAGCUGGGAGUGCCUAUCAUUAUUCUUACAUUUGCAUUGGUGAAGGGUAACAUUUUAAUUGCUUAUUUAGUUAUCUUGUGGCCUUUGCAGCUUUGCUUAUGAAUUCUUGGUAUUGCAGUGUUGCGUGGUUGAUUGGCUGGGCGCUGAUUUUGGAAUACACAAUUGGUGGUUCAACAGUAGCUCGUGGCAUAUCUCCAAAUCUGGUUUGUCCGUUGCUUUGACACACUGAGGUUCAAGUUUGUUUCCUCAUUUUAUUUGGAUAAGACUGAUGGCUUCAGCCUUGCAUCGUGUACAUUCAUAGUUGUUUUUCUGAACUGAAGUUUAGAAGUGUUGCUUGCUAACCUAUUCGUGUCGUAAAGUUGGUAGGUAGGACAUCCACACAGACUAUAUAGCACUAUACAGCUCUAUAAGAUCAUUAUCUUUUUUUACGUUUUUCUGUUGUUUGAGCAAUGACUCUAUUUUUAAAGAUUCUUGUUAAAUAUUGAGUGGCACUUAGAGGUUGAAAGAAAAAGGCGACAUUUUCUUUUUGAGAAGCUUUGGAUAUCUUUGUGUUCAUCAAUUCGUUUUGUUUUUCAUGUUUUUAACAUGAACGUGUGGAAAUUGUUUGUUUAUCAUGUGAUGAC